AUUCUGAAUUCUGGGAUGAAUCCUAGAUUCGUCCCAGAUUCUGGGAUGAAUCCUGGAUUCAUCCCAGAUUCUGGGAUGAAUCCUGGAUUCGUCCCAAAAUUU